AGCGGCGGAGGGGUGAGUUUUUGUGGGCAUUCUGGGGGACUGAUGGGAAUGGGGGGGGNAAAUGGGGCUAANGCCCAAUACGCCCUGACCUCNCCUGAGGUCAGCGGCAAAGCAGGGAUCUUCGGAUCCUUGCACAGUCCGAUGGGCCCGCGGCGCAUUAGCUAGUUGGAGAGGUAAGGGCUCCCCAAGGCGACGAUGCGUAGCCGACCUGAGAGGGUGAUCGGCCACACUGGGACUGAGACACGGCCCAGACUCCUACGGGAGGCAGCAGUAGGGAAUCAUCCGCAAUGGGCGAAAGCCUGACGGUGCAACGCCGCGUGAGUGAUGAAGGUUUUCGGAUCGUAAAGCUCUGUUGACAGGGAAGAACCCACGCCAGUCGAACAGGCUGGCGUGCUGACGGUACCUGUCCAGAAAGCCCCGGCUAACUACGUGCCAGCAGCCGCGGUAAUACGUAGGGGGCAAGCGUUGUCCGGAAUUAUUGGGCGUAAAGGGCACGCAGGCGGUUUCGUCAGUCCGAUGUGACAGGCCACGGCUCAACCGUGGAAGGCCAUUGGAAACUGCGAAACUUGAGGACAGAAGAGGAGAGUGGAAUUCCACGUGUAGCGGUGAAAUGCGUAGAUAUGUGGAGGAACACCAGUGGCGAAGGCGACUCUCUGGUCUGUACCUGACGCUGAGGUGCGAAAGCNUGGGGGAGCAAACAGGAUUAGAUACCCUGGUAGUCCAUGCCGUAAACGCUGNGNGCUAGGUGUUAGGGNUUUCGAUACCCCGUAGUGCCCGAAGCUAACGCAUUAAGCACUCCGCCUGGGGGAGUACGACCCGCAAGGGUUGAAACUCAA
rnacentral:rRNA from 1 species